ACUCUAAGCUCUUACUGUAAUUUUUAUAAAAAGGCCACUUGUUCCAGAGCUGCACAAUCCAUCUUCAGCUUUAUUACAACUCUACAAAUUGUGAGUGUAAGAGUCUAAGAGUCAUGAUAGAGCUGAAGAUAGAAUGUGUAGAUUCGAAACACUUGUUCUUUUCGUGAAAAGUGAGUGAGCUUAGAGUUCAUAUUUAUAUACUUAAUGGCUGGGUGUAUCCAUUGUUUUAAAAGUUCAAUGUUUAGAAAUACCUAUCUUGAUCCACAUUAGAUUAAGUGUUGUUCGACUAUAUAAUGCCUCAAUACGCAACAUUCUUCCUGAUCUUCUAAACGAUUCAUUAGCUACAUUUACUGCCAUGCCGGUUCAUAAGGACGGGCACUUACAGAAGCCAUUCUUGAAUCAUUUCUACUGAGUGGAAAUGGCACUCUAUCAUUGCAUAUUAGAGCCUCACCUUAUACUUGCAUCUAAGAGAGGACUAUACCACUACCUCAGAGCGACAUAUGUCAUGCUUGCAAGUUUUUUGGAGCUCUCAACUUGCCUAUGAUGCGUUUUGAUACAUAAGCCUGCUUUUUUGGAAAUAUUUGAAUUUAGUUUUGGAAAAAUCCAAACUUAUCCAAGAAAAAUGAGGCUCUUGACAGAAUCAGCAUCAAAAUUUUUCCCACCAACAAUUUCUAAAUCACCGGCAAAUUCUCUUUCUUUGGUUCCAGCAAAAUAAAAAUUCUGUUGACAAAUUCGUGUUAUAAGAAUUUCAGGCAACAAACACAAAAACUUCUGGGGAAUCAAGGUCAAAUACAUUACCUAUCGGAAAUAUAUAGGGGUGCCCAAUAUAACCCAACCAAAAGAGGUCUGAGGAAAGGAGACCAUCAUCAUCCAAGGUGAGAUCAUCAAUGACUACGAGGAAGUAGAACUCAUCGAAAAUUUUGACCACAGUUGCUGGGCAGAUUUCAAUUCGAUUUUUUGGAUGGAGUGCUUCACAUUUCAUUCCUACCGUUAAAUCAUGUUUAAUUGUUCCCACACGGAUCUGCAAAAAAAUAAGAAUACAAUACAAACAUAUACAAAGUCUUAACAUAGAACUAAGAGAGAUGAUGUGUUCAAAUUAUUAAAAAAAAAUGGGACUUAAAGGGGCCAAGAUCAUAUCAUUUCAUUCACAACAAUGUUCUUAAAGGUUUGUCAUCGCAAAUUGCUCAUAGUUUAAAAAAUGUUCAUGUUAACGAAAGUGACAUUUACAUGUUUCCUACCAAUCAUUUUUCAAAAAUACUGCUUGGUGGGAACUCAUAGAUGUGAAAGAAACUCUGAAAUCAGCUCAGAAUGACGCUGACGUACACUUCCUAGACAAUAAAUCGACAGUGAAAUUCUCGAACCACAUAUCUUGCUCAUUCCUGCUUCACUAGAGACAUUUUUGCAGAGAACUAAUCAACAUCAUUUCCAAAAAUUUUCGCAAAAUAUUUGGCUUACAGAGAAAAUUCAUAGAAGUUUUCAUGGUAUGACAUUGAAUAGGUUUUCUCUGAAAAAAAAUGAAGUACGACAGGCAGUCUGUGACAUUGCACGGUUUGGGACUUCAACUGCCAAUAAGAAUGUUCUAAAGUGCUUUUUAUGCACACUGAAAUUACUUUGCCAUGAGCAUUUUUAAGAAAAUUUCAAGUCAAAAAUGCUCAUCGAGGGCUUAGGAAUAAUAUUGCCUAUCUGACAAUUUGGCACGUUAGGCAAUUUUGGAACUUUGCCACAUUCUACAUUACAAAAUACAAAAGCUAACUUUUUAGGUUUUAUUCUAAUUCCGCAUGGGAGUGCUGUGAUGACACUGUAAUGUAUAACAAAAAUUGCAAAUCUUGCCUCGGAAUUACAAAAAAAUGGCUAAGUUUUUUCUUGCAAAAUCGUUGGUUAGGUGAUACUGUUCGUUAGCCAUCAUCAUGUUAAACAUCUCAUCAAUUCAGUCUAAGAUAGUACACAACAAUAAUUCAGCAUACAUCAUAGAAUGCCACAGAUUUUAAGCGUAGUUAGCUUUUUCCUUUUUCCUUUCUUGACAAUUAUGGCUCUUUGUUGAUAUAAAAUGGACAUACUGAAAAGAAAAGAUUGAGUGGUCUUGUUCAUUAACUAGGAUAAUUUACGGUGGUUUUAUGAUUUAAAACUUAUGUAGGAGGAAAAAAAAAGAGGGAUGACCUGCGGUCAAGUUUGAAUGAGAUGAGAUGGACAAAACAGAAAAACAAUUACCUGAAUAAGAUCUGGGGGGAUAGAAAAAUUACUUCCUUCUUCUAAACUUGAUUCUAAGAUUGAAUUCCACUUGCUAUCAUCCACAUCAGCACUUGUAAUGAUCGAGGAAGGUCUACGAAACUCCAGGGGAUGGCCUGAAAAUGAUGACAUCUAACCCUUGAGCGUAUUCUUACUUACGAAACAACACAUUAUGAAUACAAUUUUAAGGAUAUUGGGAUAGAAAAACACAUUUAUUGUUUUUGGCAUUCUGAGAAGGAAGCAGAAGAGUGCUAAGUUCUCUGCGCUCUACAGCGACAAAUGUACAGUCACUCGAUGUAAAUUUUACUUCAGAAAAAAGUUCCGCAUGUUGAUUGCACAUUAACUCAUUUAGCAGCUAUGCUAACCAAUGUAUAAUGUUUCGAGAUUAGAUUCCAUUAGACUUGUUUACUUCUUUGGCCACUCGUUUACUUUCUUGGCUUUUAAAUGUUUGAAGAAACAACGGCAAGGCAAUGAGCAACUUGGUGAGUCGGUGUCAUAUGAAUAGAAUUCAUUAUUAUACAGAAAAAAAACACCAGCAGAACUUUUACCUCUUAUUUCCCUCCAGGAUCAUUUUUUCGAUCUUUUUUUUCCUGCUUCUUUUUUUUUCUCUGUUCUGUACUAUUGAUCCAAAAAAGAAUCCAGACUUUUAAUUGGUUGAAAAGCAUGUUGCUUCUCAUUCAGUCGGAGGCUUCCAACGUUACAUGACAGACGAACAUAUGAAAUAAACUGAAAUCCCGAGGUUAAAAAAUAUUGUAGGACCUCUCUUUUUUAGUUAAUUUGUCUCACUUUUUGCAGUUGAAAGUAUUUUACAAUCUUGAAGUUAGAAUUUGAAUUACUUACCAUGUUUUUCACAAAACCCUAUCGGAAAUAAUCUAGGCGAUGUGUAAUACAGCCAAAAAUUGGGAGAAUUGGAGACUGGAGAGUCAUAACGUAGCAGGAGCCGCCCACCAACAUUCUCGAUAAUCUGCAAGGCAUCAAAUUAAUAUUAUUCUUUAGAUGACAAUUGCAGAAGAUACUUCUCCUCAAAAAUAUCACAUUUUAUCACAAUAAUGGAAUUCUAGGCUAUUAGAAACACUUAUCUAAUAAAUCAACUUGUGAGUUUUUUGCUACAUCACCAAGAACUAUCUGUUGUAACGUGAAUCAUUGAUUGACUAAAAUCAAUAAGAACUCGUACUCAAAAAUUCAUUAAGUUGUCUGCAGCUUUUCGUGACUUAUACUUAAUACUUCAAAUACUUCCUGCUUCAAAACAAGCUGACUAUCGGUUUAUCAGCGACAUAAAAAAUUUGAAAGUCAUUAGUUCGAGCAACAACAAUCAGCAUAGUAUGAGAAUUAAAAAUAAAUUGUUGAUGAUCAGCAAAGCGCUUCAUGUGCUGACAUCAUAGUACACUUACAGUGGCGAUCCACAAAAAGUGAGGAUUUUUUUCAUCCUGAACUUCUACUUUCAUGCCUUGCUUCAGCCGCUCCACUGGAGUGUAGCCAUCCUAUAAAAAUUAAUAAAAUUCCACUGAGUUUGAUAUAAAUUGUUGCAUGCAAGUGAUUGGGACGGGAAAAUCUAAUAAAGCAACAAGAUCCAUGUGUUUCAAAGAUCAACACUUUUCAAAUCAUGAUAGGUGACAUUCACUUCAAUGGUGCAUGCCACAGCUUCUUCCACCUGGGAUUUUAUUUGAAAUGUUAUUCAUAAAUUAGUGAUAUCAAAAGUGUCCAUUGCUGAUUGACGAAAGAACGAUGGAAAAACAAUGCUGAGACUUGUUUUUUUUUUGCAAAUUGCGCUAUUUUUAAUUGCCCCACACCUACAUGACUAGCUUGAAUCUGUUAACAAAAGAAUAAAGCAACGUUUGUAAGCA